rnacentral:rRNA from 1 species
GGUUAAGCGACUAAGCGUACACGGUGGAUGCCCUGGCAGUCAGAGGCGAUGAAGGACGUGCUAAUCUGCGAUAAGCGCCGGUAAGGUGAUAUGAACCGUUAUAACCGGCGAUUUCCGAAUGGGGAAACCCAGUGUGACUCGUCACACUAUCAUUAACUGAAUCCAUAGGUUAAUGAGGCGAACCGGGGGAACUGAAACAUCUAAGUACCCCGAGGAAAAGAAAUCAACCGAGAUUCCCCCAGUAGCGGCGAGCGAACGGGGAGGAGCCCAGAGCCUGAAUCAGCAUGUGUGUUAGUGGAAGCGUCUGGAAAGGCGCGCGAUACAGGGUGACAGCCCCGUACACAAAAGCGCAUGUGCUGUGAGCUCGAUGAGUAGGGCGGGACACGUGGUAUCCUGUCUGAAUAUGGGGGGACCAUCCUCCAAGGCUAAAUACUCCUGACUGACCGAUAGUGAACCAGUACCGUGAGGGAAAGGCGAAAAGAACCCCGGCGAGGGGAGUGAAAAAGAACCUGAAACCGUGUACGUACAAGCAGUGGGAGCCCCACCACCAAAGCAUUCUCUGGUGUUGAAGGCCCUGCAAAGCAGCAUCGCGGUGGCGGAGCGUCGUUUGCGACGCCCAACACACAAAACAAGCGGUGAGUGCUUUGGGGUGGGGUGACUGCGUACCUUUUGUAUAAUGGGUCAGCGACUUAUAUUCUGUAGCAAGGUUAACCGAAUAGGGGAGCCGGAGGGAAACCGAGUCUUAAUUGGGCGUUAAGUUGCAGGGUAUAGACCCGAAACCCGGUGAUCUAGCCAUGGGCAGGUUGAAGGUUGGGUAACACUAACUGGAGGACCGAACCGACUAAUGUUGAAAAAUUAGCGGAUGACCUGUGGCUGGGGGUGAAAGGCCAAUCAAACCGGGAGAUAGCUGGUUCUCCCCGAAAGCUAUUUAGGUAGCGCCUCGUGAAUUCAUCUCCGGGGGUAGAGCACUGUUUCGGCUAGGGGGCCAUCCCGGCUUACCAACCCGAUGCAAACUGCGAAUACCGGAGAAUGUUAUCACGGGAGACACACGGCGGGUGCUAACGUCCGUCGUGAAGAGGGAAACAACCCAGACCGCCAGCUAAGGUCCCAAAGUCAUGGUUAAGUGGGAAACGAUGUGGGAAGGCCCAGACAGCCAGGAUGUUGGCUUAGAAGCAGCCAUCAUUUAAAGAAAGCGUAAUAGCUCACUGGUCGAGUCGGCCUGCGCGGAAGAUGUAACGGGGCUAAACCAUGCACCGAAGCUGCGGCAGCGAACGUAUCACUUAAAGCGAUUCAGCGGGUUACGAUUGACGGAGCGAAGCGACGUCAAAGCGUAUACAAAGUCGAGUCGGUUUA